rnacentral:rRNA from 1 species
GACGAACGCUGGCGGCGUGCUUAACACAUGCAAGUCGAACGGUGAACCAGAGCUUGCUCUGGGGAUCAGUGGCGAACGGGUGAGUAACACGUGGGCAACCUGCCCAGACUCUGGGAUAACCUCGGGAAACCGAUGCUAAUACCGGAUACGACCACUUCGGACAUCCGACGGUGGUGGAAAGUUUUUCGGUCUGGGAUGGGCCCGCGGCCUAUCAGCUAGUUGGUGGGGUAAUGGCCUACCAAGGCGACGACGGGUAGUCGGCCUGAGAGGGCGACCGGCCACACUGGAACUGAGACACGGUCCAGACUCCUACGGGAGGCAGCAGUGGGGAAUAUUGCACAAUGGGCGAAAGCCUGAUGCAGCGACGCCGCGUGAGGGACAACGGCCUCGGUUGUAACCGUCUUCUAGCAGGGACGAAGCGAAAGUGACUGUACCUAGCAGAAGAAGCACCGGCGUAACUACGUGCCAGCAGCCGC